GAUAAUAUAUUAACUCCCUAAACUCGUCCCUAAGUGAUUCCAAGUGAAAAGAGGGUGAAACAGUCAAAGAGAAACAGAAACAGGAAGCUGGAAUUUCUGAACAGCCUUGUUACUCCACAGUUUUGAGGCGACUUUUCGACGUUGAGCGAAAAAGGAAAUUGAUACACACUCCAUAGGAGCUUACACACAUAAAGGCGAAAGGUGAACAUGGAACUACAUAGAGAGCAUGGCUAGCUGUG